CUCAUGACUUCUACUCAUCUUGUGUUGGAAGAUCAAUCAAAGAAGGAAAGAAGAGACUGGAGCUAGGAGCCAGUAAUCUAAGAGAAAGGCAGUAUGCCAAAGACUUGAUCAGAAAUGCUGGAUGUUUUCUGGCUUAGAUACUCUUAAAAUCAGUCAUGUUCCAAAAAAGUGCAAAGAUAUAUUCUAAAUCCUACAUAAGGAUUAUUCCUGGGGUACUAUGAAAAUAAAGGGAAUUAUUAGUGCCACCUGUUGGUGAAAAAGCAUUAUGAACAGUAUCUGCUUAUCUGCAUAACCCAGACUGAGAACUCAUCAGAAAAGUACUACAUGUGGAAGGGCAGCUAGGAUAGUGGUUUUCUG
rnacentral:lncRNA from 1 species